UCCGGAGGGCGCAAUCGUUGCUCGGAAUUACUGGGCGUAAAGCGCGUGCAGGCGGUCGAGUAAGUCGGUUGUGAAAUCCCCAGGCUCAACCUGGGAACUGCAUCCGAAGCUGCUCGGCUAGAGUCCCGGAGAGGGAGGCGGAACUCCCAGUGUAGGGGUGAAAUCCGUAGAUAUUGGGAAGAACACCGGCGGCGAAAGCGGCCUCCUGGACGGUGACUGACGCUGAGACGCGAAAGCGUGGGGAGAAAACAGG
rnacentral:rRNA from 1 species